AACCAUAGAAACCUGCGGAGUACCUGCGGAAGGAUCAUUAACGUGCCCGGGGCCCCAGCGGCGUCUCAUCCCUAACCGGGGGGGCGUGUCUAGCGGGUGUCCCCUACCGGCCCCACACUUGUCUACAGACCCAUGUUGCCUCGGCGGGCCCGCCCUUAGCUGGGCCGCCGGGGGGUUAACGCCCCCUGGCCCGCGCCCGCCGGAGGACCCCAACUGAACCUCUUGUCAUAGCGAGUUGCA
rnacentral:misc_RNA from 1 species